GCCUGUGGUCCUAUUCAAGUUUCAUUUUCCCUCCCUUGGGUACCCUGUGGUCACGUGUUUCAUUUAUCGCGUGUUGCCAUCUAUCACGUUUUUGCACAUUUUCUUGUGGAGUUGGGACGUAAGAGCGCGCAUCAAAAUCUCCGAAAUUAUGCCUCAAAUCCUUCUAAUUUCUCCUUGAAGACUGCCUACAGUUUAUUUGUCGUCGUCUCUGUGCUGCUGGUGCCAUUCACAAAAGCAGUCUCCCUUUCCCCACAAAAGUGCUCGACAUCCGGGAUAACUGGCAAAACGCGCGGACGUUUGGCUCGCUGUCUUCCCUGGUAAGUCCCAAUGAGGCUCUUCGCGAGUGCAAGUCUAAACUCGAAGUUAGUAAGCGGCGGUUCUUUCUCAAUGUUCCACAGGCGUAAAUUUUGUCGCUUUGCAGCUCUCGAAAAAGCCCGACACUUGCGAAAUAAUUGUCCAUGAAGACAAAAUACCCGCAGUUCUUGAUCCGUGACACGAGCUCUGUCACAAUGUUGUUUACACUGUCGCCGUCACGUUGGUUGGGAUUUUUGCCGGUAGAUGGAGGACGUAAUCAUAUAGCCGGAGCCCGCGUCGCAAAGGCAAAACACUUUGAUCCCUCGUUUCUUAGGCUUCAUUGGCAUAUAUUGUACGAAGGACAAUCGUUCUUUAUACUUAAUCAUCGCUUCGUCAAUUGAUAAUUUGCGUUUUUUAGCAAAAAAUGACUAAAAAAUGUCUAAGCAUUUCGCUUGAAUUAGGUCGAGGAAUGGCUUCGCUUUGUAGAGCUUUAACUCUGUGCUGCCCCUCGCUGGCGCCGUUGUGUUAUCGCACAGAUGCAAAUAACGCAAAAUGGCAA